rnacentral:rRNA from 1 species
AUUGAACGCUGGCGGCAGGCCUAACACAUGCAAGUCGAACGAGUGGCGGACGGGUGAGUAAUGUCUGGGAAACUGCCUGAUGGAGGGGGAUAACUACUGGAAACGGUAGCUAAUACCGCAUACCAUCAGAUGUGCCCAGAUGGGGUUAGCUAGUUGGUGGGGUAACGGCUCACCAAGGCGACGAUCCCUAGCUGGUCUGAGAGGAUGACCUGCCACACUGGAACUGAGACACGGUCCAGACUCCUACGGGAGGCAGCAGUGGGGAAUAUUACACAAUGGGUGCAAGCCUGAUGCAGCCAAGCCGUGUGUAUGAAGAUGGCCUUCGGGUUAUAAAGUACUUUCAGCGGGGAAGCGUUACCCGCAGAGGAAGCACCGGCUAACUCCGUGCCAGCAGCCGCGUUAAUUC